rnacentral:lncRNA from 1 species
UAAGUUCAAAAAGGCAAUAAGCUCUCUUUAUAAGCUACUCAUGAAUAUUACUGCACAGGAACAUUUGUUCAUUUUCCAUUAAUAAAAAUGAUAAACAUGAGUGCUUUAAAUUCAAUUCCAAAAUAAAAAUUUUCUAGGAGCAUAGUGUGGGAGACGGUCACCAUUGGGUUCUGUUUUCAUUACAGUCAAGGGUAUAUGCCUGGUUCCCUUUCUUGUGGUAUUUUACUUUCCUUUGUAGAUCUCUGUGAAAUGCUGUUUUAAAAGAUUUAUGAUUAUAGUUUAUGGUUUUACUAAAUGAAAAUGCAAUUGUAAGUAAAUCAUUUUUUUCUCUUCCCUUUGACCUAGUAUGAAAGCAAGGUAAAAUUUAAAUUUAUGCAUGCCUUCUUCGAGUGCAUGGGUUGGGUCAAUGUGGCUUCUUAGAUAAAGCGGUGAUGCAGAAGCAGAGUGACACCUAUCCAGCUUUAUUCAUAGUACAUUUCACCAGCAAGUAAUGCAU